rnacentral:lncRNA from 1 species
GUUUGGGUGCUGGUGGUGGUUUACCAGGUAGGACUGGUGUUGUGCCUGGAAUAGGUUUGGGUGGAGCUGGUGGAGUCCCAGGUGGAGUUGGAAUAGGAACUGGAUAUGGAGGAUAUGGGACUGGGGCAAAACCACCUAAAUAUGGUAAUUAUUUUUAAUUUUUAUAAUAAAUAGGAGUUUCAAUAUACUACAGAAACUCUCUAAACCAGGGGUCUCCAAUCCUGCUCCUGGAGAGCUAAUUUCUUGUUGACUUCAGUUCCAGCCCUGCUCCUACAAACCUGCCAGUUAUUUUCCAAUAAUCCUGAAC